CCUGGAGUGGCUCUUGUACUCCCAGGAGGUCCUCACCCACAACCUGGUCGCUGUCGAGGAGUGGCUGACUGCGGCCGAUAGGGAGCACAAGCAGCUGCUCGGGCAGCUGAAAAACCAGGAGGAGCAUGACAUCGCGCUGAAGCCCAUGACAAACAAUACAUCUCUGGUCAACAGCCUCAAAACAGAGAACAUCAGCCUCAAAUCAGAGAACAUCUGCCUCAAAUCAGAGAACAUCAGCCUCAAAUCAGAGCUCAAUAGACUAAAGGAGCAGAUCAAUGAGCAGCGGCAGACCAUUGAAGCCAAAACAUUUCUGAAAAUGAAGCAGCAGUCACAGAAAGACCUGCUGAGAGCGACUCGUGUCAACGACGAGGCGAUGGCCCAGUUCGAUCGCAAGCUCGACGACACCAAAAAUAGCUUGCUCAGGGAGAUGGAGUCCCUCAACAACCAAAACCUCCACGCUCUGGACAAAGUCAGUCAGAAUCAACUUGUUAGGCAGGAGAUACUUGUCAAGCCUGUGGACUCGCAGCAGCAGAGAGACAUCAACAAGGAGAUCCAGAGCCAGACAAUCCAGAUGUUGGAGCAGCAAAAGAAGAAACAUAGUCAAAAAUGGAAAUCCAGGUUGCAGGGAGUCAAAGCUCAGCACAAAUCUGAGAUUGACAGGCUGAUGGAUGAGCUGAGCAAAAUGCAGACGUACCAGUCUGAGAACCACAAGAUGUCCCGGAUUCUGCGGAAGAAGAAGCUCAUCAUCCAAGCUCAGAGGGAACAGAUAAAGAGCAUUUAUUUAAACCCACCCAUCAAAGAAGAAGAAGAACAAAAAGAAGAAUCAGAAGCAGAAGAAGAAGAAGUACCAGUCACCAAGAGUUUACCUGCACCAGAGCCCAAACGGAAGAGAGUUUCCACGAUGAGGCCAGUGUCAGUUCCAAUCUUGGAUCCUAUACAGGAGCUGCCAGAGGAUUCAAACACCAUAUCUGAAAAGAGUCCAGCGCAGACAACACCCAAGCCUGAGCUCAGGAAGGAGGUGACACUGACGCUCGUCAGGCCGGUGGAGAGUCAGAGAACGGAAACUUCUGGGAGCCUUACAGAAAAGAAGCCUCCGUUGAGCUUCAUUGAGGAAUCGGAUCCUGAGAUGGAAGAGGUAGAAGAGCAAGGAAAAGUAAAGAAAAAGAACAAAUUGGUGAGAAAAAUGAAGAUCUUGGGACAAAAGAUUUCACAGAGUUGCAGGAGAGUAUUGAAUGUUUUUUGUCGUCGGAAGAGGAGCACUGCAGAAGAAUGUGAAUCAUCAUCAGAGAGUGAGGAACGUUCUACAGAAAUGUCCUCCAGUCAGGUCACAUGUGACGUAGAGACAGACGGCACCAUGAAAGGCAGCCUGACUUCCCUCAACGACGUCAGUGAAACAUAAAGGCCAUUAGAAACAUAAGAAACCCUGCAGCCAAUCAGGAGAUGUUGCAGAGACACAACAAACUCCCUCAAACUAGUGUUGUGUUCAAGACCACACUAUCCAAGACCAAGACUUGCCCGAGACCAGAAUGCACCGAGACCAAGACAAGACCAAGACUUUCAGGAGCCGAGACCGAGUCAAGACCAAGAC
ensembl:lncRNA zinc finger protein Dzip1-like